rnacentral:rRNA from 1 species
UGGGGAAUUUUUGACAAUGGGGGAAACCCUGAUCCAGCCAUCCCGCGUGUGCGAUGAAGGCCUUCGGGUUGUAAAGCACUUUUGGCAGGAAAGAAACGUCAUGGGUUAAUACCCCGUGAAACUGACGGUACCUGCAGAAUAAGCACCGGCUAACUACGUGCCAGCAGCCGCGGUAAUACGUAGGGUGCAAGCGUUAAUCGGAAUUACUGGGCGUAAAGCGUGCGCAGGCGGUUCGGAAAGAAAGAUGUGAAAUCCCAGAGCUCAACUUUGGAACUGCAUUUUUAACUACCGGGCUAGAGUGUGUCAGAGGGAGGUGGAAUUCCGCGUGUAGGAGUGAAAUGCGUAGAUAUGCGGAGGAACUCCGAUGGCGAAGGCAGCCUCCUGGGAUAACACUGACGCUCAUGCACGAAAGCGUGGGGAGCAAACAGG